GGCAUUGCCAACAUAAAAGUGUUAUUCUGAUUUGUUAUCUGUAUUAUAAAUGUAGCCAAGGAUUGGUUACUUAUUUUUAUUAUCUGUGUCUCUCUCUUCUCCAACUAUGGCCGCCAUGAGCGGGUGCUAUUUUAUAUUGUAAUUGUGAAAGUACAAUAAACCAGUGAAAAUAACCAGCCUCCUUUUUAAUGAUACAGUCCAACUAAGUAAUAAACUCAACAUGGUCCUAUCUCACCGUUUAUUAACAUCGUGAGUACUUUCGCCGAGACACUUUCGCCCGGCAACAUGGUGGCACGCAUGGUGCACGAGCUGUCUACACGCCGUUCUCACAGCGGAAAGGAGCGCCAUUAAUAUUUAUAGUAGCCGAAUUGUCGCACGUUCAGUGCUAUACGUCGUGCACUCAACAUCGAGCUACACAACCCAAGAACUGACCUGGUGCACGUGCAGUCUGGACGCCGUGCACUCGGCCUCAUCGAGCUACGUGACGCUAUCACCGAAUUGGUGCACGUGCAGUCUGCACGCCGUGCACUGCGGACUCAUCGAGCUUCGAAUCGUAAUCCUCGACAAGAUACACGUGCAGUCUACACGCCGUGUGCUCGGAAAAUUUAAAUACGUGACGUGAUUAACAAACUGAUACACUUGCAGUCUACACGCAGUGUAGUCAUCAAUUUGAACUACGCAUCGUAAUUUAUUUAAGACCCGACCUGUGGUACGUGCAGUCCAGUACGCCGUGCUCUCAGCAGGAUAGGACAUGGAACUAACUGAUUUGCAUUGACUUUAAAUAUUUUAAUAGUGACAAUAGUGUUUUAUAGACAUUACAGUAAUUAAUUUAGAUUGUAUACUGUGUGCUGUGAAGCAAUGAGUAAUUUGAGUGGAAUGUCGCUGGCGGACCUUGUGGCCGGGAGGGGCUACGUUAAGGCCAAAAUUUCAAGAACUUGUAACUCAGUGAAGAUAACUGAUUCAAAUGAGAUGUUACUAAAUCAAAAAACUAGAUUAUUAGAAGCAUUCAAAGAAUAUGAAGAUUACAACAUAAACAUACUAAAGUUAGAAUCUAAUGACACUGAACCUAUUGAGGAAUAUGAAAAUAAAUACUUAAAUGCAUUAACAAUUAUUGACGAAGAAAUCAACAGACGCAAUGCCCACUCUCCCUCCACGAGGCCCGAACAGGUGGUAAAAUUGCACCAGCCUAUCAAGUUACCACCCAUAGACAUACCUUGCUUUAGUGAUGCCUACACAGCCAGAGCAUAUCACAUGGAGCGGGACGCUGACACAGACCCAACAAUGGAAGGCUUCCUUGACUACCUAGAGAGGCGUGCACUGGCCUUAGAAAAUGCUGAACCAGGGACAUCGGGACAACCUCGCUACUUGCCUGCUAAUAAGACUGUACUAAUAGCAACUGAAAAAACGCUGCAGUGUGAUUUAUGCAUUGAUACUAACGGGUCCAGCAUACCAGCCAUCGAGUCACCAGCAGGCGACUGGCAGCGAACAGGGGAAGAAUGCAGCUCGAUCGCAGUUUGAGCUGUCAACCCAGCCCACCAUAGUUAACACCCAAUUUGGUCACAUUAUCGGAGGUGGCCUACCACAUCUAGUAGCAUGCAAUAAGAUGCCUCCAGUUCAACUGCCUAUGGCUGCUGUGUCUACCUGCGCGUCACUGACUGUAAAGGUAAAACUAUAAUGCAUUUGCUCUGCUCUAAGUCCCGAAUCAAUUCGAUUAGCAAGAGUAAUACCGUCCCGAGACUUGAACUGGAAGCUGCAUUACUCCUAUCAAAGCUUGUUGCACGGGUGUAUCGCACUCUUAAAGUAAAACUUAACAUCAAUAAUGUUUACCUGUUCGCUGACUCACAAAUUUGUCUUGCUUGGCUAAACACACAAUUGACAAGACUGCAAGCUUACGUAGCCAACCGAGUCAAGAUAAUAAAGGAGCUAACAGGUGAGUUCGUCUGGCUUUACGUGAACACCAAAGACAAUCCGAGUGAUCUUAUCAGUCGCGGUGUCAGUCCGCAAGAUCUUGCAGCAUGUAAAAUGUGGUUUUUUGGACCUGAGUUUUUGCAUGACAGUGAGUAUACAUUUAAGUGUAUUUUAAAUAUACCAAACGACCUGCCUGAAGUUAAACCUGCA
rnacentral:misc_RNA from 1 species